UCAAUACCUUGUUAAGAAGAAGAACGCUUGCCUUCACAUUCAGGACUUUCAUCGAAAUUCUUAGAUGGAAAACUUUUGGUGAUGUAGCCAACCUCGAAGGUCAAAUCCUGACCGUUGGAUCUGAUUCCACUAAUCCCCCACCACCUAAAAAAAGCCCUAACACCAAUUCCAUCAAGCCCAGCAAUACGAUUCUCUACAAUUUUACCAGUGAUUUUUUUAGAGUAGGUAGCCAAGUAGUUGUCCGGAGGCAGCGUGAUGCGACACGUGUCGUCUAGCUUCAGCACGAAGUCUCCCGAAGUACGGUUGAGAUCGUAAGUUUGGAGGUUGGCAGGGAGUAAGCCUACGGGGAAGCCAUACUCGAGUAGCUCCGCGUGUGCUGCGGUUAAAGUGGGGUUUGGAGAGGAAACGGCGACGUUGCGGAGGAUGCAGGCGGUGAUGGUGAAGAUCAAGAGAGGUUUCGCGGCCAUGGCUAUGGGUGGUGUGUGCCAAUUCUCACUCCUGUAAAAAGUUGUUUGCUACCUCUGGACUGUCAACAGGAUGAUGAGGAAUUAAUGAAUGAAUAUUCUAGCCUGACGGUUAGGUUCUGUUUGGUUUGGGUUAGGAAGAAAAACGAUUUUUUUCUUUCUUUUACCAGGGAAGAAAAAAAGGUCAAAUUUGCUAUUACCAAUCUUUAAAAUUGAAAAUUGGUCGGGAUCAAUAGCUAAGAACUGAAACUUGUGAUUAUGAAAAUCGAUUAAAAAUCCCUGAUUUGAUCCGUGCAAAUAUAGAACUUUUAUUUUUCUUUUCCUUUAUCUAAUGGUCAUUGAUAUAUUAUUCAAUAGUAUUUAGCAAUUAGAAUAAGAUACAAAACCCGAGUAAAAAAAAAGUGGAUAUGAUUACAAUUCACUGAUGACGUGCAUAUUAAUAUGUAAUAUCAAUGUGCAUAUACAUAAAUUAUAAUCCUAGUUAUGUAUAACAUGUGUUCAACAAGGAGAAAUGUUUGAUCGCACUCAUAUGUUAAUUUGAUUCAGCAAUUAGUCACCGAGUAAAAAGCCUAUGAAGAUCCAAAUGUCCAUAGUUAGUAUUUGGCAAUAAAUCGGAAAAUCUGAUGGAUGUUAAAGGGUAACAAUUAAUAUCAAAUAAAAAUCCAAUAUUGUAGAAAUAUGUAUGAAAUCUGAUGGCUAAUUCAAUAAGGUUCGAUUGAAAUAUCUAUAAUUCAUUUGGGAUCACAAGCUAAGUUUAUUACUCCAUAUGUUCUCAAACUGCUAAUGAUCUUCAAUUGUAAGAUGCUAUAGGCAUAUUAUUUUGCAUGCAAUGUUUUUCUUUAUCUAUUACUCAUCUCGUUGCCCACUUCUUUUUGGUCAAUUUAUAAAAAAAAAAAACAAAAAGAAAUGAUAAUUAUUAUUUAGACAUAAAUAUAUGUGUUUGCAAAUUCUAUAUUAAUGCCAUAUUAAGUAUUGCACUAAGUUUUUUUUUAUUUUUCAAUGAGCUUAUUUGUUUUUUUAUAGGUGAGUUUAUUUGUCAUAAAAAGCGUAAUGUUCUUACGAAAUUAUCAAAGCCAGAUAUAGGCGAGGAGAUAUAGUCCAUUUUCAUUUUUCAAGCCAUCUCAUAAUGUAAAAAUUAAUGUGUAAAAAUAAGUUCAUGGGAUCAAAAGAAGUCCCUUUAUAGAAGUAACAAAGCACAAACAAUCAUUUGCCAACGUAGUUGAUCUAAAGGGCCUUUUUUUCAUAUCUUUCUACUCCGACAAACGCUGCCUUAGAGAACUCGUCGGUAAUUUUGGAUGCUGUGCUGCCUCAAGAAGUGCGUCGGCCAUGCAUUUUUUUCCUGUGAUUACGAUGUCGUCUAAGGCAUCUGUGGCCAUGGAGUUGUACUGACAUGAAAGUGAUGGAUUUGACUGCAACGUGGUCGUGCUGAAAUAUCUACAACCCUUACGAAUACACUGGUGUGAAUACUCGUGCUACGCACGGUGCUGAUAUUAUUGAAAAAAAUAAAAUGGUGAACAACUAAAGGAGAAAAAAUUGAACCAACAAAAUUUAAAUGUAAUAUCUGUUUAACAAUAGUUUAAAAUAUAAUAGAAUGUGUAUAUCAUUCAAGAAUUGUCUUUUUUCGAAAGAUGGAUCCUGAAAAAAAAAUUAAAAUUUAUAUUAAAAAAGGGAAUGAUAUAUUUCUACAAAUGAAUGCAAUUGAAUGUUGUUAAAAUGAAAUACUUACAAAUACUAAGCAUUCGAUUUGAUAAUCUUUCUUGAAGGUGCGAACACUCUUCACACCAAUCCACUUUUAGUACGAAAGUCAAAAUUGAUAAUUUAAUUAACUAUGUUGAAUUUUGUGGAGUGUGUACUACAAAUGACAAUGCACGAUCUUUGACGAUAUAAAAAACUGUAUAUUUACCAUGAUCACGCAAAAGUAUUGGUGAUGCGGAUGGCUAUCGAACUUGAAGAGAGGCAAUAUUUUCAUUUCUUGAUCUAGAAAAAAUAUAUAUAUUAAAUAAAAAAUAAAUAGUUUUUGUAUUUAUUUUAUGUGUAGUAAGUGAUACAUUGUAUGAGAAUUGUUAACAAAAAAAUACAAUAGUUAAUAUAGAAGUAGCAUCAAUAGAAUUUAAUACAAUUGUGUUGUAAUCAACUAAAAAUUACGCACCAAUAGAAUUGUUAUUAACACUCAUAGUUAAUGAAGUAAUCCCUAUAUAAAUAUAUUUUGGUAUAUGUAGACCCCCCAAAUCCCGCAAAACCAAUCUCCACUUAUUGAAAACAAACCAAUAAAUGCACUAAAAUGCCUCCCAUCUAUACCUCAAAUUGCACUUUAACCUAUGAAUUUUGUGCGAAAUUAUCCCUCUAAUUGCUUUUGUCCUUUUCGAUUUUUUCACAUGUCGUUAACUGCUUCAUUCCCUCUGCUAUCACUUGUAUAUUUAAAAUCAAUUUUUAAUAUUAAAUAAAAAGGAAUGUAUUAGUUUAUAAUAUGUUCAUAAUAUAGAUAAAUUAUUAAAUUUGGAAAAAGGCGUAUGUUCUUAUAGGCUUAUUUUCUUUUUCUUUUUUUUUUGGGAAAAUGAGUUUGUUCUUGUAGAUUUUUUUUUAUUUUUUGGAUACAGAAUUGUUUUUCAAAGAUUUUGGUUCGUAGUCCCUACUAUGUUUAAACCAUCUUUUAAUAUCCAAUUCAAUAUUGUCUUUUAAUUUAGCAGCCUCUAUAAUUUUUAAUUUAUUCUUUUGGUUUAAGUUCAGUUAGAAUUCAGAAAUUUUCAAAUACCAAGAGAAAUCAUAUAUUUUUUUUAAAUCACUGUCUUGAGUCAGGUAGAGCGCCGAAAUAUGAGUCAGGAUUAUUUCCUUGUGCAGUUUCCUAAUAUCUGGUAUGAUAUAUAAUUAUGUCCCUCGGAUUUUUUUUUCAUAUAGAUAUCGUUAGGUCUUUGGUAUCACUACUGAACAUUAUCCAAACUUAGAAGGAUGCGUUUUUUCUAAUCCAGUGGAUGCAAAAAUACAAAAAUAUAAAAAAUGAAGGUAAUAUUUCAAUUCAAACUCUAAAAAGUAGGAUACCAUCCUUCAAGAAGUUUCAUGCCUUCUUUAGCAUCUCAAAAAUAUGCAACAUAGAACAGUUAUUUGAAUGCUAAUAAACUCUCUUUCUACCAAUUUUGAAAGGCCAACCAUUAAAAGUGAAGUGAAAAUUAUUGCAGUCAAUGCAGAGAGAAAAUGAUAAAGAAAAGAAAGGCUAGAAUGCAAUUUUGCCAAAAGAAUUUCUGACGAAAUUAAAAAUUAAUCCAAUUUUAAUAAUGGGCGUAUAGUGCCUUAGUUAUUAGUAGUAUCUGAAUUGUUUUUCUCUAAUUAUAAACCAUUUUUAAUUAUUUUUUAUUAUCAAAAAAAUAUAUUUUUUAUCUCAUGCACGAUCAUUUUUGGAAUAAAAUUAUGAAAAUAACUAUCGUAACACCUUUUUUAUGUGAUAAAUGUGCAAUAAAAAUUAAUUAAAAAAAUUUCAGUAAUACAAACAAAUAAAUUUUAUAAUAUACAAUUUAUGUUAGAAAUAGUAAAACCCUCAAUCAUGAAUCUAUACCAUUCGCAAUUAUAUAAGCAAGCAAUACCUUAUGUUAGAAAUGCGAUUGUGAUUUUGUGUUUAUAUUUUAUCCCACUAUUGACUAUCUUUGCUUUACAGUGUAACAAUAAGCAAACAACCAUUCAUAGGAUUUUGUAAAAAAUUUUCAGAAAUAAUGGAUGAUCAGAAAAUCAAUGCAAUAUCAUUCAUGACAAAAAGCAAAGCAAAAGCAAAACAUACUUAAAAGGCAGAGGGGACUGACCUGAAAAAUUAAGUUGGCAAGAAUAUACUUCCAAUUCUCCGCAAGAAGGUUGAGUUCUGCUAAAGUCUCUGCACAUAAUAUCUUCCAUUACUGCUCAUAAAAGAAACAAAAUCAAUACAUUUACAAAAUGAAUAGAGAACCAAAAACAAAUAAGAAAAUGAGAGAGAGUGGGGGUGAGAUAGUGGGAUAGUGGGAAUAGAGAAUUUGUAUGAGUGGUUAUAGGAUGAGUUAAGAUAGUGGGAUAGUGGGAGUGAGAUAGUGGGAAUAUUGAUAGGUGAUAAGGUGGGUUAUAACCCACUACAUUUUAUGUAUUAAAAUAAAUACAAAAAUCUAGAAAAAAGAAUGAGAAGUUUAGAAGUCAUUGAGAGGGUUUCUGCUAAAAAUCCCUUCCUGAAUACAUAUAGAUAUAGAUAUGAAAGGUGGAGUAACGUACAGCGAGACUUCAUGAUUUACUUACAGCGAGUGAUGAACGGUCGAGAUAGCUUGAUAUACAGUGAUUAGAAACGACGGCUCUAUUUGAAUUGAUCUUUUUUUUAAAUAAAUUUUUUAAAUACAAUAUUAUAGUGAUAUACAAUAACUCAAAAAACAUCUCAGUCACAUAAUAUAUCAAAAUUUUUAUAAUAAAAAUUUUUUAUAUACAUUACUACAAUAAAUUUUUUCCAAAAAUAUAUCAAAAAAUAAUUAAUCCAAACAAAGUAUUUAAGCGAAAAAUUUUGAAGGCGUGCUAUUACACGCAAAAGACGUCCGCACCUUUUUGAACAUUAAUUUGAUGAUAACGGUUCUGCAUAAUUACGCCUAUAUAAGGAAUACUGGAACAGAGGAUUGUGGGAAGGCGGAUUGAGAGCUUAAUUAAUAUGGCCCAAUAUAAAGUCUCGGCCAAGGUUGAAGAUGUUUAUUUUUUAUGACAACCACUCUUCCAGGGCCAUAUCAGGACUUCAAACCUCUGUUUUUAAAUUUGGAUCGGAUUGGCCUGUCUAACUGGUCGAAUAGAAAAUUAGCCAACUAUAUGAUCCAAGUUAACCUUAAAAAUUGGAAAAAUAAGAAUUCGAUCAAAUCAAGUCAAAAAUCGGAUUUGACCGGAUUGGAAACCGAAAAAAAUGAAGAACUGGGUCUCUUUUCUUGAAAGGUCAAAAUAUUUUUAAUAUUAUGUUUUGACCCCUAAAUUAUUAAAAAUUAUUAAUAUACCUCAAAUAUUUCAUACUUUAUAAAAGUUGUCUUAAAGUUUGGUAUUAUUUUUCAAUUAGGUCCAUAAUUUUAAUUCUAAACUUGUUAAUACUCAGUAAAUAAUAUAAAUUGCUACUUGAUUGUUCUAAUUUUUUUUGUAUUUUCUUAUUAAAUAUAUUUGAAACAUCAAAUAUAUAUGAAUAUACCUUUAUUAAUAUUAACAUGUUCUUAGGUAUUUUACAUAUAAUAUUUUAAUUUUUAAAUAAUUUUUAUUUAUAACGUCAUUUGAUUCAACCCCGAUCGAAUCCGAUCAAACCCAUUGAUCCCUGAUCACUGAGUUCGAUCAAGUCGAUACCCGGUUCGAGUCUGAAAACAUAGCUUCAAAUGGAGCAAAUAGAUAGGAGAACAGGGAAACCAUGAGAAAAGCAACAAAUCCUAAUGGUUAAACAAACUUCCGAGUUCAAUCUUGUAGAAGGGCAUGAAGAAUUGGGUGAAACCAUCAAUAAAGCACGCCUUCACCUCUUAUCCUGGAGUCUAGCAAGAAGACUUGGUGUUUCGUGAAUUUGCACCUGUAGUUGUUGACUUGACUAAACUUGGAGGAAGAAAAAUACGGGCAUACUGAAGCAGUUGGAAAGGUCUCUUAUUAUAUUUAUAGCUGCUCAUGGAAGUAGCAGCUUGGUGCAUCAAUCAAUUUCCCGGAUACCCAGAUUGUAAUAUCGUACAUGGAGAAAGUCUAUUGAUUAAUUUAUGUCAUGAUGUCUCAUGGAUGUCUAUUGGAUAUAAUUAGGCAUAAUAUUUGACAUGUACAAUAUUUAUAGAUAUAAAUGUAUAUUUAUUCAUUUCAAUAUUACAUGGCACGGGGUCCAUAUAGUCGUCUUCUCCGCCUGUUCCCCAUGGCUCAUAGCACUUAGUCUUUGGGAGGAAUGACAGGUUUCCUUGUGCAGAGGCCCCAUCCUGGACCUAGACACGUGGCAGUCCAGGAUGGUCGAGCCGGGCCUCGGCCCCUGACAACCGCCCUGGGCCGCGCUGAUGCUAGGGCUUCAGGAGGACCUGGGGGGCCAUCCCGCAGAGGUCGGGGGGAAUCCCCCUAGGUGCGGGAUGUGGACUAUUCCGGGCAGGUCCCGAAACGUACGGAGGUCGAAUUUCCUCACAGGUAUAAAUGAUAGCACACAUCAACUGUACAAGGUACGCUUACUAUUGGAAAAUUACUUCCGGUUGUCUCUACUUCCCGUGAACCCUAUUCACCGGAAAUCUAAGUCAACCGUCGGAGUGCCCUCGGGGACAACCCUCGGACCCCCCUUGCCGGCUCAUUUUUGUUUGUUUUGCAGGUUUGGAACCAGCUCUUCCGUCAGCACACCGAGCUCCUCAAUUCAGCUCGGUCCGGGGAAGCUCGGCGCUUCUUCACCUUGCAUUUGGCUAGCAGGCGGGAGUGGUCCAUAACUCGGCGGUUUUCACUAUAUAUACGGUCUCUAACACUUGGAAAGGCGCAACGUCUCCGAUCACCACCAUCAUCUUGGUUUUCAGGUCUACUUCGUAAGAUGUCACUCCUGUUCCAACCAUAAAGAGUAAGAAAGAGCAUAAUCAUGUUUUGAAAAACAAUCUGCUCCUUGUUUAUUCCUCAUUUGAAAGACUAAAGAAGUGUUAUUACUUGAUCGAUUUUAUUUAAAAUGUUGUGAAUCUUUUAUCUUGAGGUGGCUGUACUCUCUGAGAGAUUGCUAAGGAUCUAUAUCAAUUGCAGUUCCUGUGCCGUCGAUAACCUGUAAUAGACGGCUCAAAUCAAACUGCAAGAUUAUGCAUGGUAAGGUUUUAGCUUCUUACAUCGCUCUUUCAAAUGUGAGGUAUCAAUAUAAUUUCAAAUUUUUAUUUUAUUUUAGAAUGAAUUAAUCUUUUAUACACUGAAAUAUAUAUAUAUAUAUAUAUAUAUGUAUAUGCUCUCACCAUUUUAAAUGUACGAGAACUAACUCACAGACCAGCCGCUCCAAACUUAUCUAUCGAAGUCCGAACUUAUUUAUCGUUCCAAUCAUCCAUACCAACAAUUUUUCAGCUAAACCACAAGCAACCCUUUUUCUUCCAUUAUGUCUCUUUCUUCCCUUAUGUUUUAGGAGUCAACAUCUGUCUAAAGAUUGUGGAAAAAAAAUUCGUUUUGUAAAAAAUCAAAAAAAAAUCCGAUCUUAUCUCUAAGCUUUGGUUCUGCUCUGCUCUGCUCAAUCAUGAAAAUAUCUUGUUGACCAACUUAGAAAAUGUUUCUAGGCUGCCAUCCAAGGAGAGCUCUUUCAUUAUGUAGCAGGAAUCAAUUAAAUUUUACUUGCAAAAGUCCGAGACUGGGUUUUGUUUUACAGAUGUAGGAUAUUUAUGUUCGUUGUUCGAAACUUGGGCUUGUCUUUUGGUUGCGAUGACUAAGAGAGCGUCACUUUCAAGAUUGCACUCGCAAAACAUGCAUUUCAACGUAUCAAGCCCGAGAAACUUUUCCAUAUGCCAAAAAUAGAAAGUGACGGCAAGGAUUCUAGAUCUUCUACAAGCACCGGCCAGUUGUAUGGUGAGUAAAGACAUCAAGACAAUAGAUGUAGAUACAAAUAUAAUAACUUGCAAAAACACAACAAAUUUUGACACACAUUGAAAAUUGUCCCCAAAUCAUCCACCCAAAUUAAAAUUAAACCCCCAUCAUUGUGUGCACCGCACCAUACAACCAAACCUGCAACUCUACGAGCCCCCAAUCCAUGGGAACACAGUUCCACUGCUUUGUGCCAGAAAACGCGGCUUAGCUUCACUAAAAGUUAUAAAGUACUUGUAUAUUAUUUUAACAAGCAUCUAAUAUAACAGGAUCCAUCCAUAAAACCAACAGGCGAUAUUAAAAUCCUAGAACAUAACAGAACAAUGCAUGUCCUACUAUAAACAACUGAGAAAGCUCCAAUUACAGUGCUUCAAAGUGCAAUAAUCCACACUAUUCCCUCGCUCAGGAAGCCAUUAGGAAGCCAUGCUAUCUAUCAGUCAAGGGUAAUGAUGCCAACCGAUCAGCAACAUUGCUUGAAAGCUCUUCAAUCAAAACAUUCCCCAUGAGCGGCAAUGCACCUGUCCCACAAUCAGGAAACGCACCAGCAGCAUCCACUUUCGCAAUCUGCUGCAGCAAUUUUCCCUGCACCAUAUGAAUUUGAUUCCCUUGCUCAAACACAAGAUUUUGAAUGUUUUUAAAAAAUUAUCUAUAAUUUUGCCCACUAAUUCCUGCUUCACCCUCCUUGUCAUUCUCAAGCUAGAGGAACACAUGGCACUUAUUUUGAACCCUCCAACUCAACUCUUCUUCUAAUUUCUUUAAAGUGGUUUCUUCCAUGUUCCAUCUAAUGACCAAGAAUAUGCAGAAGAUGCUACUCAACAUUUGGCAAGAAUUGAGUAAAAGGACAUGCAUGUAUCUUGUCAUACAGAAGCUCUACCUUUUUCACCUUCUCUCUCUUACUACAUGAGGCUGCCUGAUGAUGAAAGGAUAGUUUAGUAACAGCAACAACUUCGACUUUUACAGACCAAGAAAUAAUUAGCAAAAUUCACUGUCAACGGAGUAUUCUCCUCCAUUCUUUUAGACUUUUCUGUUAGUGUGAUUCUAUCCGAUGAUUUUGCAUUGCAAUGAAUUGCAAAAAAAAAAAAUCAUCAACUCAACAAAGUAUAUGUUGAACCUUUAACUUCUACAAGAAUAUUUCCAAGAGAAAUUUGGAUUUGUGUUCCAAACAAUUUAAGGUAAAAAAAGAAAUUACAAUAAAGAGAGACAUUCACCAAACUUUCAGAAUAUAGCACUUACUAUUGCAAGGAAAAGAAAAUAAAUUCAUACACGAUCACAUAGAUGCGUGAUUUUCAGUCAACAAAGAGACAGGAUACAGACCUUGCUUGCACCCGUGUUUAUCUGUUGAGCAAGCACAUUCCGAACAGCACAAACCGUGUCAGCUGCAUCUUGUGAAUAACCAUCACAGGGUUUUGCACUGUCCAGCUCAAAAAUUUUCUUCUCAGGGUCUAGAUAAUAAGGGUCCACACGCAGCCUCACUCCAAGCACUUCAUAGCCAUUCAUCUCCUCAAUAGCUGCUCGACAAGGUCCAUCGGUGUCAAAUUGAACAAAGCCAUAGUCAGUUGAUUGACCAUCAGGACGUCUUGGGAUAUUGAUAUACCAAAUCUUUCCGUAUUUGAAAAAUAGGUAUUCCAAAAGUUCAAUGUCAGCCCGGUCUGGCAAGUUCUGCAAAGAGGUGAGGAUUAAGAAAAAAAAAAAGAAGGGCAAAGGAAUUCCAAGAAAUAGUUAGAAAAACUCACAAAGGCUACAAAGUUUUGAAAAAGUAAAAGAAAUGAAAAAGGAAAGUACAGUACCCUUACAAACAACGUGUCAGGAACAAGCCCAGACAUUUUAGUACAUGGAUGACAAUCCAUCAUUUGGAUAGGCCUUCCGUGGAGGGUAGCAGAGGCCAGCUUGUUCAUUGCCAAAUCAGCUGUUAUCAUUAUGGUAAAAAAGUAGGGAAAAAAUAAUUACACAUAGUACUUUGAAGGAUUGGAAUAAAACUAAAUACUAUGACAAAAACAUGCUUUGCUAUUGCAAGCAAUCUCUUAUGCUUUUGAAGAGAAUUGCAAAAUGAAACAUAAUAUAAAAGCAAAGCACAGAUCUGAACUGCAAAUAGGAAAACAAUAUUCAAGGAAAAAAGCCAUGGUCAACAAGCUGCAUAUGGAAUAAAUAUCUUUUUAGAGCUGUUCUUUCAUACCUUAAAUCAAUCCUUAUGUUAAAAUGGAAGAAAACAAGGAAAGUGGGAAUGCACAAGCUCCGAAGGGGAUUAAGAAGGCGAGGAUUGAACUCUCGUUCCAAUGGACCAGGCGAUAUUCAAUAAAACAGAAGCCACAUUGAACCCACCCCGCACACAAUAAUCGGUUCCCACACGUCAAAAUAAUGUUGUAACAGUUAUCAUAGAUGAUAUAUUUUGGUUAAAUGAAAAAUGCUCCUUAUACGUUAACCAUUGAUCACCUUGAUCAAGGAUCUCUCUGACAAGGGGAAAAAACUUAAAUUGCCAUGUGAUCCCAUUCUAAGGAGGCACCACUGAAAGAAGAAACUUAAAUAUUUCAUCACUCUUAGAUACUGAGUCAAAAGACAGACACUUGCAUGACAACAAAUUCCUGGCACGUACUAAAUCAAGGAAGGUCCCAACUACAGCUCGCCUAUAUGCAAGAAUAAUCGGGACUCAUUUCCAAUUUCUGACUUCAAAAAGAGAAACAGGUAUUCGCUCUUCAACAAAAGUCCUAGUACGAUAAUUCAUUCCUCAAAAAUCCUAAUCUAUUUCCACAAACGACAGACAUGGAUCAACAGUUGGCAAUCACUCGUUCAUGACACAAUUGGUCUGCUUUAAAAACGCCAAAGAUGGGGGAAAAGGGUUAAACAGAAGUUUAUCUAAAUAGAUUUGCAACAAGAGACAUGAACAAUCAGAAAUUCCUCAAAGGCCAACCUUAUAAUGAAUUUUGCAACUACAGAUAUGAAUCACACGAAGCAGCUAUAAAGCAAAGGAAAAAAAUUUCAUCAACAGCAGGAUGUCAACAAAACUGACCAUGUUCUUUCUUCGCAAAGGAAACCAGGGCAUAGCGGCCAAUUAUGGAGUCACAGAAAAUCUCAGUCCUAAUCGCGACACACACGCGGAAGAGGCGAUGAACAUCCGCUCCCGUCACGGUAUCGGCCAAAGUCCAAACAUAAAGCGCCGGCAGCCCAGAACCAGACGAUCGAAGACCAGUCAUCUUCUGCUGCAGUCGAUCUCCUCCCCGAUAUCUACUCGGUUGGUUUGUGUACUCGUUUUGAACCAAUCCCUAAUUCUCUCGUUUCUAUUCUUCUACAGGAUUCCUAUUCUAUGUUAGUACGCUGUUUUGGGGUUCGACUUAUAGAGUUAUAGGAAAAUCGCAUACCGACGGAGAGGGACGGGAAUUGGGCUUCAAAAAGCAUAUAAAAUCUAGGUCAAUGCUUUAAUAGCUAGUUUGGGAGUUUAGGUUAGAAAAGAAAAGAAAAGAAACCUUAAGUUAUGAAAGAAAAGAAAGGAUGGGAAAAGAAAAGGUGAGAUGUUGAUGUUGUUUGGGAGUUUAGAUAAGAAAUGGAAUGAUUUGGGAUAUAUAUGUCAAUAAAAAUUUGUUCAAUACCCAUUUGAGGAUAAAAUGGACAUUUUUAAAAAUUUUGUUAGGCUUUCUCAAGUUUCCUUUGCUUUCCGGCCACAUUUGGGCGGAAAAGUAUAACAAUUAUGGCAGCAACAUACCAUCCAUCCAAAUCCUUUGAUUUCCUUUCUUUUCCAUCUCUUAAAAAGUCCCAAAUGGCAGAAGGAAAGUUUUUGUUCUCCUUUCCUUUCUUUUCUUAUCAAAUCCGAUCAUCCAAACUAGCUAUUAGUAACUAUAGUUUUGGUAACGAAAUAGUUUUUACUAAUAUAACAGGUUGUUACAUUUUUUACGAUUAUUUGAUUUUUUGUUGGACCUAUUCACCUAAAAAUAUGAAAGUAAAAUUUUCUUAUCUAAAAUAGUAUGUUAAACUUAAUAGAUUAGUAACUUUUAUACCUCAAAAAAUAAAUUGAAAUAAAUAUUAAAGUUAAUUUUUAAAUAAAUAAAUUAGUACUUUAUAUCCCAAACUUACUUUUUAAAUAGUAAGGCCCCAUUUGAAACCUGAAUUUUUUGAAAAUUUAUCUAAAACUUUACUAUAGUGCACCGUAGAAGUUUUUGUAAAAAUUUUUUAAAAUAAAAAACUUUUUUUCCUUUUCUUUUUUUUUUUUUCUUUUCUAUCCUCUCUUCUUCUUCUUUUCUUCCUUCCCCCUCCCCCGUCACCUGUGUUCCGACAUUGAAGAACCAACAAAUGGUCCAAAUUUGCUUUAAGUUUUCCUUUUUUUCUUUCUUUUUCUUUCCUCUCUUCUUCUUCUUUUUCUUCCUUCCCCCUUCCCCGUCACCUCUGCCUCUAGCUUUGAAGAACCAGCCGCCAUGAUGAAGCCAAUUUUUUUUCUUUUUCUUUCUCUCUUCUCCCUCUGCCUCUCCCCCUCUACUCCCUUUCACCCUCCCCCUCUCCUUCCCGAAGCCAAAGAACCGGCAGCCAUGGUUUUAGAAAAGAAGAAAGUUUCCAGUAAAAUUUCUCGCUUCCCCCUUCCCCUCUCCCUCUCCCUCUCCAUAAUUUAUGUCUUCCACUAAAUUCUCAGGGUGAAGCGGGAACAAGUUGAGCUGCGGGUGACCGCCGGCGGGCGUGUCGCUAGAUUGAUCUUAGGCUUUCUCAUCACAUGAAAACUGAGGACGGAGACUAAGAUACUUGGGCUUUCUAGUCUUCCUCCGGGUUUUUCUACGAGAUUUCCUGGUUAUUUUUUGAUUAUGGAAGCUGAUGAAGCGGUCUUAGUUCUAGCAGUAGCAGUAGUAGUACGAGUUCUGUCUCCGGUUCCACCACCAAAAGAGGGGUUGUAGAUCGGUCAAAGGGGGAGGGGGAGAAAGGAAAAAAAAAAUGUCGGAAGCAGCGCCAGAGAUGGUGACAGGCGAUGAAAGUGUGGUGGAUCGGGGUGGGGGAGAAAGAAGAAGAAAAGAGAAAGUUUUUUGUGUAUUAGAUAUUUUAAAGUGUGUAGGUUAAAAAGUAUGAUAAGUUUUUUUGGAUUCAUGUAACUAAAGUUGUUAAAAAACUAAUAGCUAAAAAAUUUGGCCAAAAACUUGGGUUCCAAACAGGCAAUAAGUUUAGUUCAAAUAACAAUAAGUUUUUAUAUAUAAACAGUAAUUUUUACUAAUAAUAUGGUAAAUUUGAUUAAGAAUUUUUGGAAUACAUGUACAAUUUUAUAUUAAAACCUUAUCUCAAACUAGUAUUAGGAAAUUUAUUUAAAAUAAUGAUAAGAUGUUUUAUUAAUGAUUAAAACUUAGUACCUUAGUUAUUAAGUAUUCAUAAUAUAUCUAUAUAAUAAAUGAUUAUAGGUAUAAUUUAAAUUUUUUUUGUAUCUAUAUAUUUUAAAAGUAGUUUUACUUUUCAGAUAACCUUAUAAAAUAUGUAAUAAAAUUUUGUCUUAUUAUAAGAUUUUAAUCAUUUUCAAUUUUUGAAAAGUUUGAAAGUUUGGAUAACAAUAACAACAAAUCUUCCUAGUUACAUGUAGAAUAUCACUUGUUUCUAUAUCACAAUUUUUAUAAUUUAACACCUAUGAAUAUAAUAAGAUAAUAAAGUUUUAAUAAAUUUACAUCUAAGACAUAAGAAUUAAUAAGAGUUAAAACCCAAACAAAAUGAGAAAUAGUAUAACAAUAAAAAUGACAAAAUUGGCAUAACGGUUAAUAUAAGAAAAUCAGUAUGAUUUGGUCUUUUUUCCUUGAGAGAUUGUUUAUAAAAAUGAGAUCCAACAAUAAAAUGAAAAUCACUUGCACAUAUAAUCUAUUGUAUAAUUUAAAUUAAAUUCAGUUCACGUAUAAAACGGUCCUAAAAUAAUUAACACACUGUGAUGCAAUGUUAUUUUAAUAACAAAUAUUUUUUACUGAAAGUCUCAAAUAUCCAUGCCAUACAUAUAAGGGAUAUUUUACCAUAUUUGUUUCCAAUUGAGUGCACAAAUUUCGUUGCCGAAAAUUAAAGACAUGAAAACUUGCAUAAAUAUCAAAUUUAUUAAAUCAAAUAAUAAGAGAGUUACAAUCUCUAAAAAUUCUUUUUUUCUUUUGAUAAUUACAAUCGCUAAAAAUUAUUGAAUCAAAGAAAUUAAUCCCCUAAUUCUUCUCUUCAAAAGCACUCAUAAUUAAAGCAUAAUAAAAUCAAGUUUUUUUUAACCUUUUAAUGUAGUAGUUAUGCUUACUAAAAAAAUUAGUAAACCAUUCCUACAAUGCAUUGCUUCUCCUAAAAGUACUAAUAUUUUGUAAAUAAGUUGAAAUAAUUUUGUAAAAGAUUUUAUGCAUUUUCACUAAUAGGGUUAAUCACAUUUUAUCCCUUUAAAAAAUACCCCAGUUCUCGGUUUACCCCCUAACCUUUAAUUUUACUCACUUAACCCCUUUUAAGAUAAAAUUGCUCUUGCAUUAUUUUAACUUUUCAUUUACCUUGUUUUUCUUUCUUUUAUUUCUUUUUUCUCUUUCUAUUUUAUUUAAUUAUUCCUCUUUCGCACAAAAAAUUUCACCUUAAUUAUUGAAAUUAAAAAACAUGAAUUAUAGAGAUCUAUCUUUUCCUUAAAUGAUUAAAAAAAUAUUCAAAUCAUUUUCCUAAAAUACAAUUUUUUUAGCCUUUCAAUUAUUUUAAUUUUCGAUUUUUCUCUUUCCUUUCUAGUUUUUUAUUUUAUUCUCAAUAAAAUAUCAUAAGAUGAAAUUGUUUUCCUUUUUUUUAUUUCUCUUUCUCUUUCUUCUCUCUUUCAUCUUUCUCAAUAGAAAUUCCAUUUCAACGAAAAUUUUUGUUUUGAACUUGUAAUUGCAUAUUUUUGGGUGAAGGUUUAAAAGGCAUCAAAACUAAUUUUGAUUUUUUGUAUGAUGCAACGUGUCAAAUAUAUAGUGGUGGGCCACAUGAGCCAAGCAAGCAAACCUUUUAACCAGUUGAGACAGGGGUAUGUUACCGGCAAAAAAAAUUGUUGUGGGACCUCUUGAAAUUAAUAAUGUAUUCAGUAAGACCUUCUCUUGGUGCCAAAGAAAUGCAAUGACGCGAAAUAUUUCCAAAUUGCCCGCGUGCCAAUGGUCAGGAGGGAUAUUUGUAAUCAAAACUUGGGCGUUAUUUGAUAGUUUUCGGAUGCCUAAAAGGCGUGGUCUAUCAUUUUGGCAAAUGGCGUGCUUUAAUUUUGUCAAAACCACACGCUUUUAAGUUAUUUAUGAUUAAUUGAUGUAGGUGAGAUUAUAUUAGCAACUUUAAUCAACUAUGUUCGACUUAGUUGACCAUGAACAAUCAUAUAAAUAGUCCUUGUUAACAGUUGUAUAAAUAGGCAUAAGUAGUUAUAACGUUGGAAUCCACUAUCUGAUUAAUGACUAUUAUGAGUUAUUAUAUUCUUAGUCCAAAAACAAAUUGAGAGAUAAAAAUGAUCCAUAUCUACCACCAUCUUAUGAGCUAGCAUCAAGGAAUCGAUAAUUAGAUUAGACCCUUAAUUAGUUAUAAUCGUCGGAAUUGACAAUCCAAUUUAAUUGUUAUAAUGAGUUGUUAUCAUCUUAGCCCAUGGAGGAAUUGGGAAAUUCAUAACAAGAUGAUCCAUUUCUACAACCGUCUACUUAUGAGUUAGCACCAAGGAAUCUAUAAUCAAAUUAGAGACUUAAUUAGUUAUAAUCAUCGGAAUCGACUAUCUGAUUAAUCGCUAUAAUCAGCUAUUAUUGUCAUAGUGUUACAAUGCAUUAAGAAAUGCAUAACGAAAUGAUCCAUAUCUAUUACCGUUUUGUUAUGAGCUAGCAACAAAGAAUCGACUAUCGGAUUGAACGCAUAAUUACGUGGUAUUUGGUAAAAGGAUUUUGGUAUAGAGAAUUGGAAUAAACCUCAUAAUCAUUGUUUAAAUUACUGCUAUUGGAAUUGAAAAUUUGAAAUUAUAUCUAAAAAUGCAAUGGCAUUUCCCAAUUCCCUUGUAACUUGGAAGGUUUAGAUAAAAGCUAAGCUUGAUUCCCUUUUAAAAACGGAGCUCGUCCCACUACUCGUUAAAAAAAUUAAUAUAUAAUAAAUAUAAAUGUAAUUAUAUUUAUAAUUAUUAUAUACACAUACAAUAUAUUAUAUAAAUAUAUAUUAUAAGUUUAUUAAUAUUAAAUAAUAAUAUAUUUAUAUUAUUUAAUUAAAUUCAUAAUGAGAGGAAUUAUCAUCUUAGGAGGUUUAAUCUUUAUUGCCUUAUUUUCUUUCACCUUAGGAGUUUUAAUCUUUAUUAUCUUAUUUCGUUUACAUGUAUAUUAGAUCUGGAAGCCGUUUCAUUGAAUGUGAAUUAGUAACGGUACUACUUUUCAUUACAUGUGUACCGUGUACUUAGAUGUAUCAAAAUGGAUUAUUUGGACAGAUUUGGGUUAGAUAAAAUGAAUAAUGGAUAUAAGUGAGUCAACCCAUUAUAUCCAUUUAAAAUUGUCCCAAAAUCAUCCACCCAAGUUCAAAUUAAACCCCCAUCAUUGUGUGCACCGGCACCAUACAACCAAACCUGCAACUCUACGAGCCCCCAAUCCAUGGGAACACAGUUCCACGGCUUUGUGCCAGAAAAUGCGGCUUAGCUUCACUAAAAGUUAUAAAGUACUUAUAUAUUAUUUUAAAUAGCAUCUAAUAUAACAGGAUCCAUCCAUAAAACUUGGACUGCAAACGAGCCCAGCCGAGUCGAGUUUUGAGCUAAUCGAGUCGAGUCUCGACUAAAUUUUACCAAACUCGAGCUCGACGAGCCGGCAAAUUUCGAGCUCGAGUUCGACUCGAAUCAAGUCGAGCCGAGCUCGAGCUCGAUUAAUAUCGAGCUCGACUUGAGCCGCUCGCGAACGGCUCGAUUCGUUUGCAACCCUACAUAAAACCAACAUGCGAUAUUAAAAUCCUAGAACAUAACAGAACAAUGCAUGUCCUACUAUAAACAACUGAGAAAGCUCCAAUUACAGUGUUUCUUAGUGCAAUAAUCCACACCAUUCCCUCGCUCAGAAAGCCAUUAGGAAAACAUGCUAUCAGUCAAGGGUAACGAUGCCAACCGAUCAGCAACAUGGCUUGAAAGCUCUUCAAUCAAAACAUUCCCCAUGGGCGGCAAUGCAUCUGUCCCACAAUCAGUAAACGCACCAGCAGCAUCCACUUUCGCAAUCUGCUGCAGCAAUUUUCCCUGCACCAUAUGAAUUUGAUUCCCUUGCUCAAACACAAGAUUUUGAAUGUUUUUAAAAAAUUAUCUAUAAUUUUGCCCACUAAUUCCUGCUUCACCCUCCUUGUCAUUCUCAAGCUAGAGGAACACACAGUACUUAUUUUGAACCCUCCAACUCAACUCUUCUUCUAAUUUCUUUAAAGUGGUUUCUUCCAUGUUCCAUCUAAUGACCAAGAAUAUGCAGAAGAUGCUACUCAACAUUUGGCAAGAAUUGAGUAAAAGGACAUGCAUGUAUCUUGUCAUACAGAAGCUCUACCUUUUUCACCUUUUCUCUCUUACUACAUGAGGCUGCCUGAUGAUGAAAGGGUGGUUAAGUAACAGCAACAACUUCGACUUUUACAGACCAAGAAAUAAUUAGCAAAAUUCACUGUCAACGGAGUAUUCUCCUCCAUUCUUUUAGACUUUUCUGUUAGUGUGAUUCUUUCCGAUGAUUUUGCAUUGCAAUGAAUUGCAAAAAAAGAAAUCAUUGACUCGACAAAGUAUAUGUUGAACCUUUAACUUCUACAAGAAUAUUUCCAAGAGAAAUUUGGAUUUGUGUUCCAAACAAUUUAAGGUAAAAAAAGAAAUUAGAAUAAAGAGAGACAUUCACCAGACUUUCAGAAUACAGCACUUACUAUUGCAAGGAAAAGAAAAUGAAUCCAUACACGAUCACAUAGAUGCGUGAUUUUCAGUCAACAAAGAGACAGGAUACAGACCUUGCUUGCACCCGUGUUUAUCUGUUGAGCAAGCACAUUCCGAACAGCACAAACCACGUCAGCUGCAUCUUGUGAAUAACCAUCACAGGGUUUUGCACUGUCCAGCCCAAAAAUUUUCUUCUCAGGGUCUAGAUAAUAAGGGUCCACACGCAGGCUCACUCCAAGCGCUUCAUACCCAUUCAUCUCCUCAAUAGCUGCUCGACAAGGUUCAUCACUGUCAAAUUGAACAAAGCCAUAGUCGGCUGAUUGACCAUCAGGACGUCUUGGGAUAUUGAUAUACCAAAUCUUUCCGUAUUUGAAAAAUAGGAAUUCCAAAAGUUCAAUGUCAGCCCAGUCUGGCAAGUUCUGCAAAAAGGUGAGGAUUAAGAAAGAAAAAAAAAAGAAGGGCAAAGCAAUUCCAAGAAAUAGUUAGAAAAACUCACAAAGGCUACAAAGUUUUGAAAAAGUAAAAGAAAUAAAAAAAGGAAAGUACAGUACCCUCACAAACAACGUGUCAGGAACCAGCCCAGUCAUUUUAGUACAUGGAUGACAAUCCAUCAUUUGGAUAGGCCUUCCGUGGAGGGUAGCAGAGGCCAGCUUGUUCAUUGCCAAAUCAGCUGUUAUCAUUAUGGUAAAAAAGUAGGGAAAAAAUAAUUACACAUAGUACUUUGAAGGAUUGGAAUAAAACUAAAUACUAUGACAAAAACAUGCUUUGCUAUUGCAAGCAAUCUCUUAUGCUUUUGAAGAGAAUUGCAAAAUGAAACAUAAUAUAAAAGCAAAGCACGGAUCUGAACUGCAAAUAGGAAAACAAUAUUCAAGGAAAAAAGCCAUGGUCAACAAGCUGCAUAUGGAAUAAAUAUCUUUUUAGAGCUGUUCUUUCAUACCUUAAAUCAUCCUUAUGUUAAAAUGGAAGAAAACAAGGAAAGUGGGAAUGCACAAGCUCCGAAGGGGAUUUAGAAGGCGAGGAUUGAACUCUCGUUCCAAUGGACCAGGCGAUAUUCAAUAAAACAGAAGCCACAUUGAACCCACCCCGCACACAAUAAUUGGUUCCCACACGUCAAAAUAAUGUUGUAACAGUUAUCAUGGAUGAUAUAUUUUGGUUAAAUGAAAAAUGCUCCUUGUACGUUAACCAUUGAUCACCUUGAUCAAGGAUCUCUCCGACAAGGGGAAAAAAAACUUAAAUUGCCAUGUGAUCCCAUUCUAAGGAGGCACCACUGAAAGAAGAAACUUAAAUAUUUCAUCACUCUUAGAUACUGAGUCAAAAGACAGACACUUGCAUGACAACAAAUUCCUGGCACGUACUAAAUCAAGGAAGGUCCCAACUACAGCUCGCCUAUAUGCAAGAAUAAUCGGGACUCAUUUCCAAUUUCUGACUUCAAAAAGAGAAACAGGUAUUCGCUCUUCAACAAAAGUCCUAGUACGAUAAUUCAUUCCUCAAAAAUCCUAAUCUAUUUCCACAAACGACAGACAUGGAUCAACAGUUGGCAAUCACUCGUUCAUGACACAAUUGGUCUGCUUUAAAAACGCCAAAGAUGGGGAAAAAGGGUUAAACAGAAGUUUAUCUAAAUAGAUUUGCAACAAGAGACAUGAACAAUCAGAAAUUCCUCAAAGGCCAACCUUAUAAUGAAUUUUGCAACUACAGAUAUGAAUCACACGAAGCAGCUAUAAAGCAAAGGAAAAAAAUUUCAUCAACAGCAGGAUGUCAACAAAACUGACCAUGUUCUUUCUUCGCAAAGGAAACCAGGGCAUAGCGGCCAAUUAUGGAGUCACAGAAAAUCUCAGUCCUAAUCGCGACACACACGCGGAAGAGGCGAUGAACAUCCGCUCCCGUCACGGUAUCGGCCAAAGUCCAAACAUAAAGCGCCGGCAGCCCAAAACCAGACGAUCGAAGACCAGUCAUCUUCUGCUGCACUCGAUCUCCUCCCCGAUAUCUACUCGGUUGGUUUGUGUACUCGUUUUGAACCAAUUCCUAAUUCUCUCGUUUCUAUUCUUCUACAGGAUUCCUUUCUAUGUUAGUACGCUGUUUUGGGGUUCGACUUAUAGAGUUAUAGGAAAAUCGCAUACCGACGGAGAGGGACGGGAAUUGGGCUUCAAAAUCAUAUAAAAUCUAGGACAAUGCUUUAGUAAUUAUAGUUUUGGUAACGAAAUCGUUUUUACCUAAUAUAACAGGCUGUUGUAUUUUUAGCCAUCAUUUGAUUUUUUGUUGGAUCUAUCCACCUAAAAAUAUGGAAGUAAGUUUCUCAUGUAAAAUAGUAUGUUAAACUUAAUAGAUUAGUAACUUUUAUACCUCAAAAGAUAAAUUGAAAUAAAUAUUAAACUUAAUUUUUAAAUAAAUAGAUUAUUACUUUAUAUCCCAAACUUACUUUUUGAAUAAUAAGGCCCCAUUUAAAACUUGAAUUUUUUGAAAAUUUAUCUAAAACUUUACUGCAAUGCACUGUAGAAAUUUUUACAAAAACAUUUAAGAUGAAAAACUUUUUUUCCUUUUCUUUUUUUUCUUUUUCUUUCUUUCCUUUUUCUUUUGGGCAAAAAACUUCGGCGGCCAUUAAACUAUUGUCGAGAUCAUGUUUUGGCCAUCAAACUAUUUUUUGUUAAUAAUUGACCACUAAACAACUUAAUCAGUAGACCUGUGGCCAUUUCGUCAGUAAUGGCUCUUAAUUUCUGAAAUUAGCAUGACACGUGGCAAAGCACAUGGCAAAUUUGUCCAACAAAUUCAGUAGUAUUUCCAGCUUCUUUGCACAUUUGCUUGGAUGACGAUUUCUUUUCACGCUUGGAUAAUGGAAUUAAGAAAUCUAGCAGAUCUCAAGACUCUCAACGAACAAUAUUCGAAGUUCCAUUUUUUGGAGAUCGUGCCAGGCAAAACGCCUGUGCUUAAUGCAAAUACAUAGCCAGUAUCAGUUGAAAUUUACUGGAGCUAUUAGUAGGUGUGUGUGUUCUUCACACUAGUCGGGGAGGAGAAAGGAGAAGGGGAAAAGGUAGACAGCCUUGGACUACUUGGUGCUGGGUCCGGCAUCCCCUUCCCCGGCUUCUCUGUCAAAUCUUCCCAAGCCGUAUGUAUCUUCCACACCACUUGUAACUCUCUUUCUGCGCUCUGCAAUCAUUUCCAGAUAUGCCUGCAAAGAAAAUUGUAAGAUUUUUUAAGUCUUUGCUGUAUAUCAACUUCUUCAUUGCUGAAAGGGCAAAACUAGAUCAAUGUCAGGCUCGGGCUUGGGCUCUUGGAUGGUUAAUUUGCCAGUGUUGUUGUGCUUAUGAUGCUGCCGCGUCCCGCACCAAACUGUGUCCAGUAUAAUGCGGCGGAAUGAGGCUGACCAAAUCUUAAACUGAACGCCCUCCGCCAGGAGUCGAACGGUCCAGCACCAUGGAUCCGCGGUUGUUCCCGUGCACCUUCCCCAUUAAUUACUAGCAGUAUCCGCUAUCUUUACUUGAGAAUUGAAAUUAAUUUGAUUUCACCAGAGAUGGAUGUUGGAAUUAGAAAUUUGACAGAGUGUUUUUGGUCAAGAUCCAUAUUAAGAUCCAAAAUUAUGACAGUAAAUUGUUGGACAAAUUUGCCCUGUGCUUUGCCACGUGUCAUGCUAAUUUCAGAAAUUAAGAGCCAUUACCGACGAAAUGGCCACAGGUUUACUGAUUAAGUUGUUUAGUGGUCAAUUAUUGACAAAAAAUAGUUCGAUGGCCAAAACAUGAUCUUGACAAUAGUUUAAUGGCCGCUCAGGUUUUUUGCCCUUUUCUUUUCUAUCCUCUCUUCUUCUUCUUUUCUUCCUUCCCCCUCCCCCGUCACUUGUGCUCUGACAUUGAAGAACCAACAGAUGGUCCAAAUUUGCUUUAAGUUUUCCUUUUUCUUUUUCUUUUUCUUUCUUCCUUUUUAUUUUCUUUCCUCUUUUCUUCUUCUUCCUUCCCCCUUCCCCUUCCCUUCCCCGCCACCUCUGCCUCUAGCUUUGAAGAACCAGCAGCCAUGGUGAAGCCAAUUUUUUUUCUUUUUCCUCCUCUCUUCUCUCUCUCCCUCUCCCCCUCUACUCCCUUUCACCCUCCCCCUCUCCCUCCCGAAGCCAGAGAACCGGCAGCCAUGGUUUUAGAAAAGAAGAAAGUUUCCAGUAAAGUUUCUCGCUUCCCCCUUCGCCUCUCCCUCCCCAUAAUUUAUGUCUUCCACUAAAUUCUCAGGGUGAAGCGGGAACAAGUUGAGUUGCACGUGACCGCCGGCGGGCAUGUCGCUAGAUUGAUCUUAGACUUUCUCGUCACAGGACAACUGAAGACGGAGACUAAGAUACGUGGGCUUUCUAGUCUUUCUCCGGGUUUUUCUACGAGAUUUCCUGGUUAUUUUCUUGAUUAUGGAAGCUGAUGAAGUGGUCUUAGUUCUAGCAGUGGCAGUAAUAGUACGAGUCUGCCUCCGGUUCCACCACCAAAAGAGGGGUUGCAGAUCGGUCAAAGUGGGAGGGGGAGGGGGAGAAAGGAAAAAAAAAUGCCGAAAGCAGCGCUGGAGAUGGUGGCCGGCGAUGAAAAUGUGGUGGAUCGGGGUGGGGGAGAAAGAAAAAGAAUGGAUGAUAUAUUUUGGUUAAAUGAAAAAUGCUCCUUGUACGUUAACCAUUGAUCAACUUGAUCAAGGAUCUCUCUGACAAGGGAAAAAAAACUUAAAUUGCCAUGUGAUCCCAUUCUAAGGAGGCACCACUGAAAGAAGAAACUUAAAUAUUUCAUCACUCUUAGAUACUGAGUCAAAAGACAGACACUUGCAUGACAAUAAAUUCCUGGCACGUACUAAAUCAAGGAAGAUCCCAACUACAGCUCGCCUAUAUGCAAGAAUAAUCGGGAAUCUUUUCCAAUUUCUGAUUUCAAAAAGAGAAACAGGUAUUCGCUCUUCAACUAAAGUCCUAGUACGAUAAUCCAUUCCUCAAAAAUCAUAAUCUAUUUCCACAAACGACAGACAUGGUUCAACAGUUGGCAAUCACUCGUUCAUGACACAAUUGGUCUGCUUUAAAAACGCCAAAAAAAGGGGGGAAAGGGUUAAACAGAAGUUUAUCUAAAUAGAUUUGCAACAAGAGACAUGAACAAUUAGAAAUUCCUCAAAGGCCAACCUUAUAAUGAAUUUUGCAACUACAGAUAUGAAUCACACGAAGCAGCUAUAAAGCAAAGGAAAACAAUUUCAUCAACAGCUGGAUGUCAACAAAACUGACCAUGUUCUUUCUUCGCAAAGGAAACCAGGGCAUAGCGGCCAAUUAUGGAGUCACAGAGAAUCUCAGUCCUAAUCGCGACACACACGCGGAAGAGGCGAUGAACAUCCGCUCCCGUCACGGUAUCGGCCAAAGUCCAAACAUAAAGCAUCGGCAGCCCAGAACCAGCCGAUCGAAGACUACUCAUCUUCUGCUGCACUCGAUCUCCUCCCCGAUAUCUACUCGGUUGGUUUGUGUACUCGUUUUGAACCAAUUCCUAAUUCUCUCGUUUCUAUUCUUCUACAGGAUUCCUUUUCUAUGUUAGUACGCUGUUUUGGGGUUCGACUUGAGUUAUAGGAAAAACGGGAAUUGGGCUUCAAAAUCAUAUAAAAUGUUCAGCGAAUGUUAAAGUCUCAUGGCAUACGGCCUUUUAAUCUUCCACCUACAGUGGCUAAGAGUUAACAAGGGUCCCCCCAGGCCCAAAAAAAUGGCCUUUUAAUCUUGUACCAGCAGUUGCUGAGCAUUAAGAAGGGUCCCCGAGGCCCGUAAAAUCAAUCCCAGUGAUGCAUAAAGUACAAUCUUAAUUGUUUUGAUGAUCCGUAGGGACCUUCACGCAUGCAGGACACGAGCCUCUCGGGUUUUCAACAAUAAUUAAACAAACAAAUCUUCCAAUAUAUAAAGGGGUUAGUCAGGACUUAAGAAUUGGGGUCUUUUUCCUACCAGAAAAAAAUUUAAGAAUUGGAACCACGUUAUCUCAUACAGUAAAAAUGAAUGUUAAAAAAAAUUCAUGUGAUCAAAAGAAGUCUCUUUCGAAGAAAAGCACUAAUAUUUGUCACAUUAAAGAAAGCACUAAUAUUUGUCAAAAGUAGUUGAUCUAAAGCAUUUUUCACAUCUUUAUACUCCAACAAACGCAGCUUAAGAGAACUUGUCGGUAACUUGGAUGUUCUCUUAACUCUCGAGAAGUGCGUCGUCAGCCAUGCAUUUUUUUCCCUUGACUACGAUGAGAGUGUUUGGAUAGAAAAUUAUUUAAAAUUAUAAUUGUAGUAUAUUUUGUGAUGUGAUACACAUAAAUAAAAAGAUAAUUAAAAAAAAUAUGUUAGAUAUUGUACUUGUGAUAUAAGCAAAUAAUUUUUCCUUGCUCCGAGGACAGGUGCAUGUGAGAGCUAAGAGAAGGAAAAAAAGUGGAGUGAUGUGUGUGUAGUGGAAGUGGCGUGAGUGAGCCAAGAGGCAUGCUGGAAGUUUUUUUUAUUUUUUUUGGGAAAGAGGAGGGUCGAGAGAGGGAAUUGAGAGGGGAAAAUUGGAGUCUUGUUUUUUUUGUGUGGCUUGAGAGAAAAAGAAGAAGACCAGCGAGAGCCUCGAGUGGUUUUCUUUUUGUUGCGUCUGUCUUCUCUAAAAGAAGAAGCCAGGCCGAGAGAUGGUUGGGAGUGAAGAGUGCUUUUUUUUUUUUCUGUGUCUUUGUGCCUUGGUCCUCUUGGACAAUAAGAGACCGAGAGAUUGUCCAAAAGAGUCAGUGGAAUUUGGUUGCCAAAAAAUGAUUAUCUUCACCAAAUGACAAGAAGGAUCCAUGAGAUAAUAUGAUGGAUUUUUUACCGGAAUGAGAAGAAAGAUCAACGAGGAUGGAGUGUAAAAAUGGGUUAAUAGUAGUUUUGGUGAAACAAAAAUGAUUACAGAAAAUUUUUUCCGUAAAUAAGCACAUAGUAUUAAACAAAUAAAGUAGCUGAUCACAGACUAAAGAAACUAAAACCAAACCAGAAUCAAUUAUUCAAGCAGACAUGAAUUCUUGCAAGCCAGAAUGCACACAUAUGAGUACAAUCAAGACACUAAAUUUUCAAAAUCGAUGCAUUUUUCUUUUCAAUACCUUGUUAAGAAGAAGAACGCUUGCCUUCACAUUCAAGACUUUCAUCGAAAUCCUUAGAUGGAAAACUUUUGGUGAUGUAGCCAACCUCAAAGGUCAAAUCCUGACCGUUGGAUCUGAUUCCAGUAAUCCCCACCACCUAAAAGCCCUAACACCAAUUCCAUCAAGCCCAGCAAUACGAUUCGCUACAAUUUUACCAUUGACUUUUUUAGAGUGGGUAGCCAAGUAGUUGUCCAGAGGCAGCGUGAUGCGACACGUGUCGUCUAGCUUCAGCACGAAGUCUCCCGAAGUACGGUUGAGAUCGUAGGCUUGGAGGUUGGCAGGGAGUAAGCCAGCGGGGAAGCCAUACUCAAGUAGCUCCGCGUGUGCUGCGGUUAAAGUGGGGUUUGGAGAGGAAACGGCGACGUUGCGGAGGAUGCAGGCGGUAAUGGUGAAGAUCAAGAGAGGUUUCGCGGCCAUGGCUAUGGGCGGUGUGUGCCAAUUCUCACUCCUGUAAAAAGUUGUUUGCUACCUCUGGAUAGGGAUGGCAAUGGGGGCGGGGGGCUCUCG
rnacentral:lncRNA from 1 species